GACGAGAGUCAAACGAAUUGUGGAUAUGAUGAUGGAACGGUCCGAAGUAUGACAAGAGGAGCAUACUCACCGAGGACUAAAUCGCGUAAUGACCGCGAACAAGGUUAAUGGCAAAGAACGCCCGUCGGGGAAAACAUUACCAGGAGCCAAAAAGGGUUUUUAUCAAAACCCUAAAUCACAAGAAAUUCAGCCAAAUCAAGGGAAAUCAAGCUAGGAAAUUGGGGCUUUUAAUAAAUUAGUGAUCACCAAACCUAGGGGAUCACAAGUUUGACGCCUAACAAGCUAGGUGGAAGCUUGUGGAUGAAGCGAGUCAAACGGAGCGCGUACGGAAAGAAAGGCGUGGCAUGGAUGCAAGGUGUAAAUGUCAAAUGGGUAUUAGCAACGCUAUGAAUUAGCGGUUAUAAAAGCAAGGUAUUAAAAACGGGUCAAUAUAUUGAUCUGCGCCAGGUAUGUGAAAAAGGGUAACCCUCAUUUAGAACAUGUGGUUCAAAGAGUGUUAAAAGUAGUCAAGGUGAACAUUUGGUUACUUGAUAAGUAAACCAAAUGUUUUAGGUAAGGAACAUUGUAUUUGGAAAGCUUAAUGACUUUUCAAAUAAAAUCAUAGGUUAAAAGAGGGAUUACGGGUCAAAAUAAGCAUACGAGUGAAAACGGGUUUAAAUUGUGUAAUAAACCUGUGAUUAUAACCUAAUAUGGUAAAUAACCUUAAUUUGAAGUAGUGUACGUGAUAUAAAGGUUAAACAAGUAUGUUUGUUUGAUAAACGUAUAAACGGGUCAAAAUUUUGGUAAAAGAGUAAUAAGCCGAAGACUUAAAAGUCUUAAAUUUUAUUAAUCCGGAUGUUGGAUUU